CUAAGUUUCUUGAGAUGUGUCCCCCAGGCUCAAACACAACCAACCUCCCAGAAGCCCUUCUUGAUGCUGGGACCUUUUAAUACAGUUCCUCGUAGUGUGGUGACCCCCCUAACCACAAAAUGGCAUUCGUUGCUACUUUGUAACUGUAUUUUUUGCUACUGUUAUGAACCAUAAUGUAAAUAUGUGAUAUUCAGGGUAUUUGUUAAAAAGUCAUUUGAAGUCCCCAAAGAGUCUCGACCUACAGGUUGAGAACCAUGUGCCAUCAUCCCUGGGGAAGGACGAACUGGCUCAGUGUCACCCAGUUUUGGCAGCACUGACAUCCAUUGGUAUGAUUCCUCCAGUGUCAGCCUCCUCAAUUCCAGGGACAAAUGACUCUAUGGGAUCUCGGCCACCAGAUGCUAUGGGCAAGCCAUCUCUGAAAACAUCAUUUCCAGGCAUAGCACCCCAGUCCACACCUAUUCCAGGAAGGCUUUAUUCUUGUCGUGAGACCAGCUCUCUUAGCUGACCUGCUUAGCACACUAGUUACAAUGGAGAAGUUGUCCAGGAUGGAAUUUGUUCACAUAGGGUGAAAUCCAUCUGCAGGUCCCCCAGGGUGGUACAGAGCUCAGCGAAGACACAGGAACACCAACUCUUUCUAGCUCUCUACUCCAGCUUUCUUUAGAGUGCAGGUGACUCGUGGUCUUCUGGUUUGUAGCAGUCACUCGAGGGCUGCUGAAGCUCCAAGUGUCACAUUCAUCUUUCAGACAGGGGGAAGAGAAAGAAAAGAAGCAAGAAAGGGUAACCUUGUAUCAUCAGUGCUCGGCUUAUUAAUCUUUCCAAACACUGCACGUCUUGGUUAGUUUUAUCUGAAAGGCAUCCUAAAAGACUGCUGCUUCAUUUAGCCAAUCACACGGGCCCUUUGAACUAACUGGGAAGAGGGCCUUGUAUGCAUGCCUUGAGUAUUUUCUUGAGUGUUAAUUGAUGUUGGAGGGCCCAGUCCACUGUGGGCAGUACUACCCUUAGGCAGGCACUCCUGGGGUGUAUAAGAAAGCUAACCAAGCAAAGUGUGAUAAUUUGUAUAUGCUCAGCCCAUUAGAUUGUGUGGCCCUGUAAGAGUAGGUAUGUCACUGUGGGUUUGGGCUUUAAGAGUCAUCCAGGUGGUACUGGUUUUGAAGACAUGAAGGGGUCAUGAAGAGCAGCUGAGGCUUGGCACUGUGAGAGGCCAUGGAAGGCCAUUGGUGAAAGUGCAGCCUUAAUUGCAGUUGAUGGUCCAGGACCUGAAGGAGUCACACAAAGGAUUUGAAGCUUGGCACCAUGAAGAGAGCCUAUGAGAGGCUAUUGGUGAAGCCUAGUUGCUUCAGAAGACCCCGUGUACUGAAGAUGCCAGUGCCAUGGGAUGAUCACCAAGAACAGCAGCAGCAGCAGUGGAGUGGAUCAACCUGAGCUUAGAGUGCUACAGAGGGCAGAGCUGGAGAAAGCUGCUAACAGGGAGUGGAACAAGCCCAGAAACAAGAAGUUUGUUGCAGUCAACAAUGAUGAAAACAAAGCUGGAGAUCUGAAGAACUCCUUGAAAUCGGACAUGGAGGUGCAGAGUUUGGAGUUUGUCCAGCUGGUUUCCUGUCUUGCUUUGGGUAUUACAGUUAAAUGAUUGGAUGAAUCUCAGAAGAGACUUUGAACUUUGGGCUUUUAACAUUGUUGAGACUGCUAUAGACUAUGAGGACCUUUGAUGUUAGACUAAAUUUAUUUUGGGUAAUGCUGUGUUUAGCUUUGGCCCCCAAUAGGCUCAUAUGUUUGAACAAACCUAUGGGGUCCAGGGAGUGGCAUGUGUUUGAAUAUGCUCUGCUACAUCCACUCCAGUAGUGACAAGUGCGACAGGCCCCAAAAACCUGGGCGCUGUCCCGAGGCAAAAAGUUCAUGGAAACUUAGUUUCCUAGAACCAUGGCAUCCUGUAUAACGAAUGCUCCAAUGUCCUUGCUUUAGUUGGUAAAUGGAUCUGUGUGCUUUCCCCUAAUAUUGCUUUAUUAUAAGUGCCUCUAUUUGACAUAUAGCUAAAUUAGAUUCUAGGCAGUCCUUGAGCCGACCCUGGGCAUGGAUAGCUAAGUCACUGCCCUACACAGGAAUUUACCAUUAUCUAGGAAGAAGGACGUUUGUGAUCUAAACAGGAACCAGAGUAGAUACUUAGGGCUAUAGAUAGCCGAGUUACACCCAUACACAAGUAUUUACAAUGGCCUACGGGGAAGGUGGACUAUACCAUAGACUAGAAUGGGAACUGUGGCAAGGGCAUGAAGCCCUUGCCCCUGGCUUCUAAGUUAAAACUGACCUUAGGUGGGGCUGUUUUUGAUCCCAGUUGUUAACACUGAAUUUUAUCCCAGUUGGUUCCUGCCAGUCCUUCCAAGUUUGCAUUCCUCGGUUUUGUGUAAGAAUCCGGUAACCUCGUUGUACCUUGCCAGUGUGUCACCUAACUUCCCUAUUUUCUUCUGUAUAAAAAGUUUGCUCAAUUUGACAAAUUACAUUCAGA
rnacentral:lncRNA from 1 species